rnacentral:lncRNA from 1 species
CUGAGUGAAUGCACUUGUUCACGGUGUUUGAUUCUUAGGCGUGGGGCGGCUAAGGAGAUGGCAGUAGGCAGGGGGCUAGCGAAAGAGAUGGUGGUGGGCAGGGGGUGGGGAAAGGGGAAUGUGAAUAAGGUAUUUGUGAGAAAAUGUUUUUGGAUUUAUACUAAAGUCAUUUUCAUAUGCCUUUUUAUUUUUAUUUUAAAUUUUUUUAUUCAGCGCGUGUAAUACACGUGCCUUUUUUUUUGAACCGUUAAGCUCGACUCAUUGGAACGAGUCUCGCCUCGAGUCAGGGGGGCUGCAUUGGGAGGCUCAUCGUCAUUGUUGACUCAAGCCGACAGAUGAGCCUCACCAAUAUGGAUGCUAUAACACAAUUGAAAUAAAUU